GGGGAAUCUUCCGCAAUGGACGAAAGUCUGACGGAGCGACGCCGCGUGUACGAAGAAGGCCUUCGGGUUGUAAAGUACUGUCGUUGGGGAAGAACGGCUCAAGUGUGAAUAAUGCUUGAGAUUGACGGUACCCAACGAGGAAGCCCCGGCUAACUACGUGCCAGCAGCCGCGGUAACACGUAGGGGGCGAGCGUUGUCCGGAAUUAUUGGGCGUAAAGGGCGCGUAGGCGGCCGUUUAAGUCUGAUGUGAAAGUGCGGGGCUUAACCCCGUAAAGCAUUGGAAACUGGAUGGCUUGAGGACAGGAGAGGAAAGUGGAAUUCCUAGUGUAGCGGUGAAAUGCGUAGAUAUUAGGAGGAACACCAGUGGCGAAGGCGACUUUCUGGACUGUUUCUGACGCUGAGGCGCGAAAGCGUGGGUAGCGAAC
rnacentral:rRNA from 1 species